AGUCUCUCGCAGAUCAAGUUGCAUGCGGAUUUUGUCGACUCACUCACUGGCUUCUUCAACAACGAAGAAAAGAAGGCCUUGGGGCGGGAUGCUGUCAAAAAGGUCAAGCCUGACCUUGAAAACAACAGCCACACUGUGCUCAGCGACUUCCACGAUCUGAACGAGGGCAAGAUGAUUGGAGCUGGCCAUGGUCACACCAAUCUGAUGUGCAUCAUUUUCUACCUCAUCAAGCAACCCAGAACGGAGAUGACAAUCCAUGAACUUUUCAAGUUCCUUGCCAACCGUGUUCCGGAAUACAAACACAUUAUUAUCCUUCAGAAACUGAGAGCUGCCGAGUACAAUCCACGCGACUAAGUGCCCUGAACAGGCCCCUGCCACUGUCAUGGAACUUGAUGGUGGUGGUGCUGCUGCUUCUGUAGCUGCUUCUGACGUUCCUAGUGCAGCUGCAGCGUGACGCAGGACUUGAACUCGCCUACUCGCGUAAAACGACAUCAUCGGGUGUUUCCUGCUGGCCUGAUCGCCGCAUGCUGCACACUGAGUAUCAAGCUAAGCAAAGAGAUGACUGAUUUGUGCUGGACACAACGAUGAUGCCGUAACUGCCAUGCAAUCUAUGUAUACGUGGCCAGUUACAUGUAAAUUAUAUGCAUGCAUGCACAGACAGACAGACACACACACACACACACACACACACACACACACACACACACACACACACACACACACACACACACACAGGUGAUGUGAGGUUCAGUUUCCGCGAUGGCAGCUUCAAGCCGCGUUCUGGCAGUGAGCAGUCAGCCAUCACACAGCAUAUACACACCCACUGCAGUACAUUCAUCUAGUACGUAGAAACUAGGAAUAGACCCCGACUUUUUUUUUUUAAACUUGUUUUUUUGCAGCAGUUUUGCGUGCCCGCAUCAAGCUGCAGCAUGCAGUACUAUUGCCAGAAGCUGGUGUACUGACUGAUUGUCAGUUUCUACUGCUGCGUUCCCGGCACAUACACGUGUAUCCGCAAUGCAAACUGCUGGUGCUGACGUCCAUUCAGUUAUUUUCUGCUUAGAUUACGGCGUGCGUGUGCAGUGCACGCUAGAGGUGAUGGUUGUGUAGGUUUGCUGUUUUGUUGAACUGCAUUUGUACCGUCUUGCCAACUUGACUCCCUGCUUGGCCUUUCAGCGGCCAUCCAUGAUUCUCUGCAUGAUCUUUUUUCGUGAGCUGCUUUUACUUUGUAUGUAAAUAGGCCUGCUUUUAGAACUCCUAGAAAGUGUUGCAUGAACUAGUGACGUAGUGUUCCCAUAACACUGCGACUCCAAACACUUGAAUUGAUUAAUGAUUUUUACUAACUGGUUUGAGGGAAAGACACAAACCAAAGAUUUUAAUGAUAUGAUUUUAUCAUGUUUAUUAGUAUAUGUUUCUUCAGUGUUAGUGUUAGUUUUCUUGCCUUCUUGCCAAAUUGUGUCUGUGUGUACGUGUGAGUUUUCUCUUCUUUCGUUCUGUUUAGGUCACCUUACAAGUGAUUGUUUAGUUUGCUGGCCUUGCCAA